UCCGUUUCCUCUUCAUUAUGCGAAUUCUGGACAUGGUAAUGUGUAUAUCUCUUCACAAUAUAAAUAGGCUGGUUAAUGCGACGCGCGUCAAUUGCAUCAACAUGUUUGCUUUGAGACUUGCAUUGAUUCUAGUGAUCACAACAUCGACUCAUGCACUUGACUGUGGGGUUCUUUUAAACGACACCAGUAAGGAUCUAUCGCAGGUUAUUGCUACAUGUUUAAUACCAACGAUUCCGGUGGUUGAAGAAAAACCCGAAAAUGUCACCUUAGUCACGAACACUACAAAUGAGGACGACCCAGAGGAGCCUCCAACUUAUGAUACUUUGAAUUUCUUUCCGAACUAUUAUUCACGAGAAGGUCCCCGUCGUGGAUUAAGAGUGCGACGCGAAACUCAGAACAAAACUACAACUCCACCAACGUCUAUGAAGCCUGUUGUGUAUUCUACUAUCAACCAUGACAAUGACUCCAAAGAUAAUCCAAAUGAUCCGGCGAGGUGUGUCGUUCAAUGCAUAAUGGCAGCAUAU